GAUGAACGCUGGCGGCGUGCUUAACACAUGCCAGUCGAACGGAAAGACCCUGCUUUUGUUGCGUGCUCGAUUGGCGAACACGUGAGUAACACGUGAGUAUCCUGCCCUUGACUUUCUGAUAACUUCAGGAAACUGGGGCUCAUACCGGAUAGGAGCUCCUGCUCCAUGGUGUGGGUUGGAAAGUUUCGGCGGUUGUGGAUGGACUCGCGGCUUAUCAGCUUGUUGGUGGGGUAGUGGCUUACCAAGCCUUUGACGGGUAGCCGGCCUGAGAGGGUGACCGGCCACAUUGGGACUGAGAUACGGCCCAGACUCCUACGGGAGGCAGCAGUGGGGAAUAUUACACAAUGGGCGGAAGCCUGAUGCAGCAACGCUGCGUGCGGGAUGACGGCUUUCGGGUUAUAAACCGCUUUCGCCUGUGACGAAGCGUGAGUGACGGUAAUGGGUAAAGAAGCACCGGCUAACUACGUG
rnacentral:rRNA from 1 species